CUUUAAGUGAAAUAUGAAACAGAGAAGCACCAUUUCUGCCUCAAGACGCAUGUAAAGAGGUGUAGAUUCAGUUGGAGUGCAGUGGCAUGAUCACAGCUCUCUGCAGUCUCGCCCUCCUGGGCUCAAGCAAUCUUUCCCCACCCCCCGGUUUCCUGAGUAGCUGGGACUAUAGGCAUGCGCCACCACACCCGAUGCUCUAAACGUCCCUGCCAUCUGGUCCAGAUGGAGUCCUCAGGCAACCCAGAGAGCACCACCUUUUUUUACUAUGACCUUCAGAGCCAGCCGUGUGAGAACCAGGCCUGGGUCUUUGCUACCCUCGCCACCACUGU
rnacentral:lncRNA from 10 species